rnacentral:rRNA from 1 species
GGGUUCGAUUCCGGAGAGGGAGCCUGAGAAACGGCUACCACAUCCAAGGAAGGCAGCAGGCGCGCAAAUUACCCAAUCCCAAUACGGGGAGGUAGUGACAAUAAAUAACAAUAUGGGGCUCUUACGGGUCUCGUAAUUGGAAUGAGUACAAUUUAAAUCUCUUAACGAGGAACAAUUGGAGGGCAAGUCUGGUGCCAGCAGCCGCGGUAAUUCCAGCUCCAAUAGCGUAUAUUAAAGUUGUUGCAGUUAAAAAGCUCGUAGUUGAAUUUCGGAGUUUGUCGGUUGGUCGGGCUUCACUGUCCGCACUGGCCUGAUGGAUUCCUACCUUCUGAAUAACCAGCAUGCUAUUAAGUUAGUGCGUUGGGGAAGCAGAGCUAUUACCUUGAAAAAAUUAGAGUGCUUAAAGCAGGCUUUUGCUUGAAUAGAUUAGCAUGGAAUAAUAAAAUAGGACGGCAUGGUUCUAUUUUGUUGGUUUCUAGGAUCACCGUAAUGAUUAAUAGGGAUAGUUGGGGGCAUUAGUAUUCAAUUGUCAGAGGUGAAAUUCUUGGAUUUAUUGAAGACUAACUUCUGCGAAAGCAUUUGCCAAGGAUGUUUUCAUUAAUCAAGAACGAAAGUUAGGGGAUCGAAGAC